AGCAGCCGCGGUAAUUCCAGCUCCAAUAGCGUAUAUUAAAGUUGUUGCAGUUAAAAAGCUCGUAGUUGAAUUUCGGGGUCAGUAGGUUGGUCAUGCCACUGGUAUGUACUGGUCUCACUGAUUCCUCCUUCCUGAUGAACUGUAAUGCCAUUAAUUUGGUGUUGCAGGGAAUCUGGACUGUUACUUUGAAGAAAUUAGAGUGUUUAAAGCAGGCUAACGCCUGAAUACAUUAGCAUGGAAUAAUGAAAUAGGACGUUUGAUUCUAUUUUGUUGGUUUCUAGGAUCGACGUAAUGAUUAAUAGGGAUAGCUGGGGGCAUUAGUAUUCAAUUGUCAGAGGUGAAAUUCUUGGAUUUAUUGAAGACUAACUACUGCGAAAGCAUUUGCCAAGGAUGUUUUCAUUAAUCAAGAACGAAAGUUAGGGGAUCGAAGACGAUCAGAUACCGUCGUAGUCUUAACCAUAAACUAUGCCGACUAGGGAUCGGAUGAUGUUAAUUUUUAAUGUA
rnacentral:rRNA from 1 species